rnacentral:tRNA from 3 species
GGCCAUGUGGCGAAGUGGAAACGCUGGGGUCUGCAAAACCUCGAUGCAUCGGUUCGAUUCCGAUCAUGGCCUCCA